UACGAAGGGGGCUAGCGUUGCUCGGAAUCACUGGGCGUAAAGGGUGCGUAGGCGGGUUCUUAAGUCAGAGGUGAAAUCCUGGAGCUCAACUCCAGAACUGCCUUUGAUACUGAGAGUCUUGAGUAUGACAGAGGUGAGUGGAACUGCGAGUGUAGAGGUGAAAUUCGUAGAUAUUCGCAAGAACACCAGUGGCGAAGGCGGCUCACUGGGCAUGUAUUGACGCUGAGGUGCGAAAGCGUGGGGAGCAAACAGG
rnacentral:rRNA from 1 species